AAAGUCGUAACAAGGUAACCGUAGGUGAACCUGCGGUUGGAUCAUUAACAAAAAGAUAAAAGUCGGGCCGUAAAACGUUCGGCUUUUAUAAACACCUGUGAACUGUAAUUGUCUCUGGUGGGUUAAAGGGAAAGAAGUUGCUUUCUAGUGAUGUUCGACUAUGUUGAUAUUCGCUACCCACCGCUAAAUUUGAACAUGUAUAUCUUGAAUUAGUUUAUAUUUAUUAAUUAAAUUAAACAACUUUUGACAACGGAUCUCUAGGCUCUC
rnacentral:misc_RNA from 1 species